UCUCUUUCUCCUCUCUCUCUCUCUCUCUCUCUCUCUCUCUCUCUCUAUAUUUCUAGUAACAAUUUCAUUGUCUCAUUUGAAGAAGCAGAUCCAUUGUCAUCUAGUUUCACGUUUCAUUUAUUUUUUCAGCUCCCUUUCUUCGUAAAUUUUGAUCUUGGCGUUCAUCAUAGAUUUGCAUUUUUGUGAAUUUACGUUUGUGUUUCGGAAUCUUUGAGCUUACUUUCUCGCUUAACGCCGGUUCCUUUGAUCUAAUUUGUUGCUCGAAUCUCUUGCGAGCCUUCAUUUUGAGGUAAUUUUCCAUAUUUAAAAUGUUUCUGUACAUUUUUCUUUGGAACAAAAUGUGUUUCUUCUGCAAUUUGCUUUGUAUUUGUUUGGUUGCUGAGAAACCUUCAAGGAAAAUGUAGGCGCAAAGGAAUCUGAUAACUUAUUAGUCAUUUGAAACCAAUUUCAAACUCUUAACGGUCAUUGGAUUCAAAGUUACUGGUUCUUAACCGAUAUUUCGCAAAAUCAAGCGCAGUGUCAUGGUUUAUAGUUAUGUCGUUGGAUUUAUUGCACUUCUUUUUGUUAUCGUUUUGCAGCGUUUACUUUCCUCAUCUGAUUUCCUUUUUAUUUCGUUAUCUUAGAUACUUGUUAGACGAAGAGUGGAGUUUGAUUGGAGGAAGAUGUGCAUUUGGCUUUCAGGUGAGACAUGAUUCUUCCUUUUCUUUAAGUUUCUUUCCUACUUGCUUUUGUUUGUUUUGUAUAGUGCUUAGUACAACUUACUUUAAAGCUUGUUGGGACUUCUUUGAAAAUUUUUAUUGAAUGCACUCAUUGUUAUUCCACAGGGAUGUGAAUGUAUGUCAGAUUGAACACGUUUUUGCCACAGUAUUUAACUUUUCAUUGGCUGAUAUUGCAUCAGAUUUGUACCACUAUCAUAUUAUAGUGCUUUAUUGCUGGAAAAUCAUCAUAGUUGUUCCUUCUGAGUUUCAUAAAUUAAUUCAUGGUUCAUUCAACAAGCAUAUCACUAAAAAUCACAUAAAAUAUUGUGAUGAACAUUAUGCUUGUCUGGAUAUAAUUAAUUUGCGAACAAUUAAAUAAGUCGUUUCUUAGGGAAGUUAUUAACUUUCAGCAUUUGUGGUUCAUCAUUAAGUAUUUAAUUCAAAAUUACCCGUGUUUCCUUAUUUUUAAAAAAUAGAAGAAAAGUGUGGAAUAAAUUUUUUGUGGUGCUUCUAUAGUGGGCAUCGUACAUUAUUUGUGCUUAAUUUUGAAUAUAGAAAUUUUAUUUACUUUAGUAUUUACUAACAUAUAUGUAAAGUAAUAAUCUAGCGGGCAACUUAUAGUGAGUGACAUUGCCACAUGGCUCUGUCCGGUUAAUCCACAUCUUCAGCACUCUUAAAGAGUUACGAAAUUGUACCACGUAUCUAGGUACUCACUAUGUGUAGGCGCUAAAUGCUCAUCAGAUCAUAUUCAUGCCCAGAUAUGUGUGUGUGUGUGUGUGUAUAUAGAUGGUGUGUGUGUAUCAUUUUCAUGCGCUAAAUGCUCACACACACACAUAUAUAUAUGUAUAUAUAGAUGGUGAGUUGUUAGAGAAUAGAACAAGUUGUAAUGAAUAAGACAAUGAUGCUUCUUCUUGUUGUUAAGUCUAUAUGUAUGCGUUCUUUAUGCAACUUCUAGGGCGUAUUAUCCAAAAUAUUAUUUUUCAAAUAGAACUAGAUCAAUCGUGCAAGCUACCUUGGGUUUAUAAUUACAAAAUUUUCAAACAAUGUGUAGUAGAAAGCAAAUGAAAGGUUCGAUUAGGCUUGGUAUUUGUGCCAUGAUGGAAAUGCUAUUAUGAUGAAAUAGUACUUUUCAUAAUGGUUUACCAUGCAUGUUGGAAUGAAACAAUAUAGAUAAGAGAUUAUGUAACAAUUUUUUGGUGAUCUAAAAAGACAUUUUGGUUUAGACUUUAGAUCAAUUUGUUGCAAUGAGUUUUGGACGUUAUGCAUGGUUGGCUUAGAGUUUGGCCAAAAGAUGAUAUUUUGGUGAGAGAGAAGGAAAAAUAAAAUAUAAAAACCCCUCUCCUAAUAACCUUUUGUAGAGAUGCAUGAUUUGGGAAUGUGAUCAAGUUUAAAAUUGAAGCUUUUAUUUGUGAAAUUUGAGAGCAUCAUUUAUGAAAAUUGAUUUGACAUUUUCAUAUACAACUGCUUCUUGGAACAUUGAAAAACAUUGUAGGAGAAGGUGUCGAUGGUAAUCCUUGUUAGGUUUCUCAGAUAUAAUACGGCGUUAGAGUGAACUCCUAACCUGAUGGUGUAGAAUAUUGAGCCUCAAAAGAAUAUAAGGCUUGAUGGGAAGAUUUUCACAUCCUUUAUCACUAUUGUACUAAAGAUGAGCACGGACAAAUAUAUAUGUUUUGGAUGAAAAAGGCUUGUUUGAAGUAUAAGGUAAAACAUGCAUGCCUGGAGAAAAAAGGAAGAAUAUUUUCUCGGUUGAAGUUUUGUCUUUACACAAUUGUAUUUUCAUUUAUGGUGACAUAUUUUACGGAUAAAAGCAUUUGAAAUUGAAAUGAUAGUUGUUCUCUUUCUUAAUCCACAUGUUUGGGUUAAUGCAGUAUUCAUAUACUUACCCUCUUACAGAGUUGAAAUUGAAAUUGAGAUGAUAGUCACAUUUUUAUAUUUGCGCUUAACAGCAAGGCAAUCUUUGGAGUAUUGGAGCAUGGGUGCAAGUUCAUGCACAAGAUGAACAUUACUAGUGCGAACUCCUAGGCAUGUAUAAAAGACUAAGGUUGACUUGAAUAGGCUCAAGGCCUUUUAGGUGCAUUGGCUUCGUUCUUAGUCAAAGCUUUCUUUGCCUGAUGCUUGUUGGGUUGAAGAGCUUGAAAUUAAAAUUGCAAAGAAAAGUCUAUUGAAAGUUGAUAAUAUCAUGCAUGGUAGGAGCCGGUCAUUAAAUGAGUCGGGUUUUCAGAAUUUUGUUUACUCAAUUGAAAUUUUCGUAUCAAUUGAGAAGCCAAGUUGAUUAUAGUGUCAUAUCCACGUCUAGUCUUGAAUGUUUAUGAUUUAAUAGAGUAUGGUAAAACAAAAUAAUUUAUGUUGGAAGCAUUGAGAGUGAGGAGUUUCAAAUUCUAAGAAGGAAAUACAUAGAAAUGAAUUUCAUUUUUAGUAAAUCUAUUCACUAUCAAUAAUCGUCCCAUAUUAGAUGUGGGCGUUAGAGGUAGAGCUGGCAAAAUUUGACAAUACCCAAUUACCUGACACGAAUACGACACGAAUAAAUGGGUAUGGGUCGUCAAAUUUGAUACGAUUAUUAAAUGGGUCGGUUCCGACUCAACACAAUUUUUUUCGGUGUCGGGUUAGGGUUAAAAUUCUUGACCCAUGUACCCAAACAAUGACAAUUAUAUUUUCUUUUUUAAAUUAGUUUCUAGGUUCUUGUCAUUAAAAAUCAAAUAUUGGACAUGAUUCUCUCUUUUUAUUUUUAUUUUUGGAAGGGUAGAUAUAUACACAGUGUUUUAUUUUUAAAAUUUUAUAUAGAUUUAGAACUUUAAUAGUGUAAAUAUACAAAAUAUUGGUACACAUGUAUACUUUAUGAUAUUGAUUUAUAGUAUUAUUUACAUAUAUAUAAUUAAAAACUAUAAUAGUGUAAAUGUGUAAUAUUUUGGGGUGUGUGUAUAUGUUGGGGGGUGUAUGUAUAACAUUUAUUAAAAAUAUAGCUAUUAAACGAGUUGUUAGGUAACACGCUUAUUUUUUUGUGUCAGGUUUGGGUCUCAAUAUUUUGACACGAUUAUUAAAUGGGUCGGGUUUAGAUCAAUCUGAAUUUGACACGACACGAACCCGACCUGACGACCUACUUUGCCAACUCUAGUUAGAGGAUUGAGAGGUUUAAAAAUGUCACUUUAUUAACUGACAUGGAAUGUGUAAAGAUAAGGUUGUUGAUGGAUGUUUACUUGUGAUAGUUUGGGUAUUGUUGCCAUGUUAGUGCUUGGAACAAUGUAAGAAAUAAGUGAAGUGAUGUCAUGAAGGAUAUAAUACUUUAGUGGGAGACAAGAAUAGUUUUCAAUUAUUUCGAAGAAAUAUGCAAUAUGCAAGUAAUUUGUAUUCGACUAAAGUUCACAUCCCUUGUAAGAGAUUAGCAAUUUAUUUCCCUUUUUUUACAUAAGGUGUGGAACAUGUAGGAAUAGUCAUUAUUGGAGUUUUUUUAAGAACUGUUAAAAAUUCUUGGAGGUGAAGUCAUGUAAAGAUUUAUCAAUAAUGAGUCAACAAUUACUCCUUUUCUAGUGUGUAUAGAAACAUGGGCCUUCUGAAAAGUUUCCUUAUUAAUAGGACUUUAUAACACAAAUUAAGUUAAAAUUUAUUCAGUAAUUUUUGUCUGCGCUGGUUUGGUUGAAAUGGAUAAAACACUUUUCUUGAAAAAGAAGUUGAAGUGCAUUUGUGGACGCCAAAUGUUAUCAAUAAUAUAUGUAGUUGAUAGGUAAAAGCUGAAUAAUGGUAUUAAAGUUUAAACAUAGGUAAGAGCUCAAUAAUAACGUAUGCGCCAGUUUAGUUGAAAUAGAUAAAACACUUUUUCUUGAAAAAGAAGUUGAAGUGCAUUUGUGGAUGCCAAAUUUUAUCAAUAAUAUAAGUUUAAGUUGAUAGGUAAGAGCUCAAUAAUGGUAUUAAAGCUUAAGCAUAGGUAAGAGAUUUAAGUUGAUAGGUAAGAGCUUGAAAAUGGUAUUAAACCUUAAACAUAGGUAAGAGCUCAAUAAUAACAUAUGCCCCAGAUUGGUUGAAAUAGAUAACAUAUGCCCCAGUUUGGUUGAAAUAGAUAAAUUCCCUUGAAAGAUGCCAAAUGAUAUCGAUAAUAUAAUUUUAAGUUGAUAGGUAAGAGCUCAAUAAUGGUAUUAAGCCUCAAACAUAUAUUUUUCCUGGAUAAGUUAGAUGUAGUCAAUAGGUUUGUCUUGUCAAAAGUGUAGGCUCAACAACAACGAAAAUACAUCACAAACCAAUUUGUUUCAACCUAUGUAAUAUAGUAGGGGGAUUUGAUGCAAAUUCCUUGGUUAAAUUGCCUGUAAUAUUAGCUUAAAUUACCAUUAAGCUGAAAAAUUAUACUGGAAAAAGGUGUAUUAAAGUAUCAAUUUUCAGUGCUGGUGAGAAUUGGUAACAUUCCUAAUGUAGUUUACAAUUGAUGAUCAACAUUAAUGUCAUUGGCAUAGGCAUUGCCACUGUUAGCACUGUGGCAAUUUUGAUUUCAACAUUACUACAUUCAGUUUGUCUUGCCAUGCUCAUUGUUGAUGCCGGUUAUACUAUCUCUGUUACCACAAUAGCAAAAGUAUAGUAACUGCACUAUGUAAGUUCAAUCCAUAUGAUUUAGUUUAGCUUUAGUUAGUGAUCAUAUGAUUAAGUUGAAGCUAUAGAAUAAAAACCUUUCUAAACUUAUUUGGUGCAUUAUUUACACAAUGGUUUAGCUUAGUACAUUAAGCUUCUCAUAUUAGUUGGACCUCCCUAGUUAAUAGUUUAAGCAUGUGGGUUGGAUAUCUUGAUAUAUGGUGCCUGCAUUUGUGUGGGUAUAUCUUUCUAGUUUAAUUAUUUUUUAGUACAUGUAAGGCCCAUUUUAAUGUCAAUUUUUACCACAGUGCUAUAAGUAAGUUCUAAUAUCUCAUAUGGUUUAUGCAUGUGGGUUGGAUAUCUUGAUAUGCAGUAUCUUCUUUUUGUGUUGUUAGAAAUCUGUGGCCCAUUUUAUAUAUACCAUAAUGAUGUAAGUUUUCAUAUCCAAGAUAGUUACUGAUCCUUAUUGACCCUUUUAUCUUAUAGAUUAAGCCUUCUGCUUCGUAUAUUAAGAAUCAUGUCAUGUUCUUUAAUCCAAAAGAUUAAGUAGAGAAAUUUUCUAUUAGAUUAAAUGAAAGUGGGAGCUUGGUGCAAAUGCAGAUCCAUUUACCUUGCAUUUUGGUAUAAUGAGAAGUAAGCUGCUUUGUCAGAAGGUAAAGUCCAUGAGAAGUAAGCUGCUUUGUCAGAAGGUAAAGUCCAUGAGAAUAACUGAAAGGUCUUGGUGCAGCAGCAUGUCAUUGUCCUUGAUUUUUGGAAAAAUAGGAAGUAGCCUGUUUAUGCCUUAGAAUAAAUAGGGAAUAUGGUAAGGUAAAUAAGACACUGCAUGGUAGCUUGAUAUGAUUAAACAUCAAGUACCUUUGUGCUUACUGUGUGAUAUGAUUUUAGUUAACUUUAUCUAUCUCCCAAUAUAGCUUCAUUGAAGUUGACCGUACUUUGUCUGUCUAUCCUUGAACAUACUUCUAGUUUGAUUCUUGAUUCACUUUGCAGAGUUAGAGUUUUUAUUAUUAUUUAGCAUUAAUCUAAUCAUCAUUUUGAGAAAGGUGCUGCUGGUAAGUCAUCAAGAUAUAAUAGUUCAAUACAAAGCUGUGUAUAUGGGCUACACAGACAUUAAAAUGAGUAUAUUUUGUUACUAGGUAUUUACAAUGGAAUUGGAAUAAAGCAUACAAAAAGUUGCAUAAAAGAAUUGCAACAGGCUGAUUGAAUAUGAUAACUCAUUGUAAGGCUCUAUUAGCUCUCUUCCAUUUCUUUUCCUCAAACUGAGAUUGAGGAUUUCCAUUUCUAUUUCCCUUUUUUCCCCCUCCUCUAUAAUGCCUUUUAUUUUUUAUUUUAAUCUAACACAUGCUAUAUUAGUUUUCUGAUGUUCGGACUUCAAAUCUUAAGGAAUUCAAGUCAAAUCAGCCUGUUUCUAUGAGUAAAAGAUUCAGAUUUUUGAGUGUUUUUCAAUUGUUUGAAUAUUUUCCAAUUCUAUGAUGACAAGUGGCUAACUUAACUCAGCCAAGUCUUAUUCAAAUUAAAAGAAUUAUGUUCUUGCUAUCUAUCAAAAUGUUUGACAUCUAUUGUGUUGUUGCAACCCUUCUCCUUUAUCCGGGCUUGGGACCGGCUGUGUAUGCAAUUAUGCAAGGGUAGAUACACAGGCGGAGUUAUUGCAGCAUAAAUUUAAAUUUUGCAUUUCUAGUUUGGGUCUUUUGUAACCAAAUUGUGUAUGUUUUUUCAGUUAUUUUGCUAGAAAUUUUAUUUUGGAUGCUCUUAAGUUUUCUUCCUUUGGAAAUUAAUUCUUAAACUUCUUGCAGAAGUUACCUUUUUUUCAUUUUCUUUUUUAGUAUAUUUUAUCUUUGUUGUCAAUAGGUGAGCUACAUCUGAAAGUUAAAUACGCAUCAUGAACUUCUCCAGCACACUAUAUGAAUCGUUUCAUCUGUUUGUAGGCAAUGAAUCCAAAUAAAGUGGUGAUCUGAAGAUUGACCAUUAUAUUAGUCUUUACUCCUGACUUCAUCAACAACUUUAAUUUGAUUAACUUUUGACUGUACAAACUGAAAAUUUUAACAUUUUCUAAAAUUAUAUUAUUUAAAAAAUUGACACUCUUUAAUGUUUGGGUAAUAUCAGUGUGUUUAGAAUCAUCUUGACAUUAUUCUGGCUUAUUAUGCAAGUAUUCCAGGUUGAAACAUAUCCUUUAUUUUUUCCUGUUCUUUUUAUCCCUUAAUUUAGAGCUGAAUUACAGUUGUUGCAGUGAGAAUUUUCUACAUUACUUUUGCUGCUUCCCAAAAGAACACCUUUUUCUUCUUUUCUGGGAACCUUCAAUGGUGAACUAUAUGUGUCAGCUUUUAACCCUGAACAUGCUUUGUCCCAGUAAUACAUGCUAAUUUGUGUAACAUGCUCUAUGAAUAGUGGAUUGCAAGUUAUGUUGUUGAAAUAGACCAGCAGAGUCUUAUGUUUGUUUCACAUUACAGUUUUCUGCAUCUGUACACUAGGCGUAGGGAGGGCAGACCACUUUUUUAUUUUUGGGACUUAAUACCACUCUAUUUUAAUAUAACAUGCAAGUAAGGAUUUUACAUAUUUUUCUUUCUUCCUCUAUCAAUUUCUAUUAACAAUUUUUUGUUUUCUGGAAUCUAUAGUUUGUCUAUCCAUUUAGUUGUGCACAUAUCCUUCUUUACUUUUAUUUUGAAAGAAAAAGUACGUGAUGAGUUUAUUAUUCAUUUCCUUUAUUUUAGUAAUUUUCUUAUCAGUUUAAAUGCAGUUCUGGCAAGUGUUGAUAGGUCUUAUUAUGGUAACACGGGCUGAGAGGUAAGUUUUUGUUUCUGUUCAUGUGUGUUAAAAGGGAGGCAAAAUGAAGAAUGAUAGACUAGACACUGUUAGGUCUGUAAUCUUAGUUGAUUGAAUUUGGUUGAGCUCCCAAGCAACAAUGCCUGAGAGUUUGUCUCUCUAUAUAUUUCUCCAAUUAACUGUUUGGUGUUACCUUUUUAUUAGAGCAGAUCAAUAAGUAUGUUUAAUCUUUUUUUUUUAACUUUAAUUAAAUAAAAAAAUGUAUACCUUCGUUUCACUUGUCUAUUUCAAGGACGAAAACUCCUAAAAUAAAUUCAUGGUGCAAUUUCAUUUUUCUUUAUUACACUUAAAAUCUUAUGUUUACAUUAAUAGCUGGUUUCCUUCACCAUCACACAUGUGCUCAAGUUAAUUUUUUCAAUAAUAUGAAACCAAAGUCUUGAAACUGAAAGGUCCGUGGUUUACAUACCACAUCUCACUAAUAGAAGCAUAACCCUCCCAACAUCGACUCAAGUCAAUUAUCUGCAUGCUCACCUUAUUGAAUGUUCUUCACUAAUGCAGUUGCAGUCUGCUGUAUUUAACAAGGAAACAUUUCUGAUUAAAACCAUGGCAACAUCAGAAUUCAAAAUAAAAGUACCACUUUGCAGGGAACUGUACCCCAACUUUGUUGCUCUCGCUGGAGUCUCGUGCUGUGGCUGGCUAAGUUGGAGACGAACAGGUAUGUGCGAGUCCUCUCCAAUCCCUAUAUUGUUUGUGUGAAGUGGAUUUCUGUUUGAUCCAUUCAAAUCCCUUGUUCCAUAAACCUGGGAUGUGAAAUUUUUCUGUUGAGGAUGGCUUUAAAACAUCCAUCAAUAUGUCAAAGUUUAAAUCAUACUACUCUUUCAAGGUUGAUUAAGCUUGUGUUAGUUAUUUAAACCUGUACCUUCGUAUACAAUUCCAUGUUUUCUUGACGAAUUAGGUUUACCUUCUUAUAGAGUUCCACAUUUUCUUGGUGAAUAAGGUUCCCCUGCAACAAGGCCAAUGAAUUAGUAACUUGAAUCUUUUAAACCAAAAAGAUUGGCUACUUGAAUUGAAAUUAUAUGAUGGUAAAUCAGUAGCCAUUGAUUCUGGGAUUCACCUUUCGGCUUAAUUCUUGUAUUUCGUCCAUUAAAAUUUGGUCCUGUACAAUAGAAAAUGUAAGUAACAUUUAUCUGAUAUAUGCACAGUAAUUGGAAGUUUUACUAAGCACUGCAUGGUGACAUUGAAAGACUUUUAAACCUUUUUCAUUCGAACACCUCGAAGACUCAUUUCCAAUUGAUUCUCCAAAUUCUGCAAGUCUUUUACACUCAAACCAGAAAGCUCUUCGCCCAUCAUUUGCCUGUUUGGACAUAUACCAUAGGCAUUUGAAUUUGUAUCUUUGAUAUUCCAUAACAUGUUUAUAGGGUAUGUUAAUGAGAUGCAAUUGAUUUGCUUCACACAACAAUAUACAUUGUGGUCUUCGGGCAUUUUUGGUGUCAACAAAUGCUAAGCUUUAGGCUGUACUAUUUCAGUUUUUCUACUACGAGCUAUUCCUUUGACUUUUAAGGUGGCCCAUCUAUCGAAAGCAUAUACCUGGUAAGUUCUUCAUUCUCUUCUCUGCUAAUUUUGUAGCUAGGGCUGGUCAAUUUGUUGCUGUCACGUCAUGUCAUAUAAAAUCUAAAUCCAUUUGUAGUACAACUAUCAUUUUAUACAUCAUAAGAUAUACUAGCUCAGUGUGCCAAAUUCAGUCUGAAGAAUAUGAAUUUGGAACUGUUCAAGUUUACUGACCUGAGUUUACUUGAUGCGAACCUAAAUAAUAAUGCUUUCAGGGCAGUCUUAGAGGCUUCAUAGCUUGAGGGUUGAAAGCUGAGACUAGAUGUUCUAAAAGUGAAUUUUUCCACAAGUCUAUAUUAAAAUUUUUCCUAGUUCACUUUGAUAAUCUGUGACUCUUGGCUGUCAUGUAAAGUUCUUGAAAUGGGACAUUAAGUUGAUAUUACAAGAUUCUUCAUUCUGAGGUUUUAAAAGUUUCUCCAGUCUAGAGUAAAAGAAUAAAAGGGUGUGUCAUAGAAAGAUAAAUACCAGUGAAAUAUAUAUUCCUCAAAUCUAAUAUUUCAUAAAUAAAAGAAAUUUUGGAUAGUUGACAUAUGAAAUUUAAGAGCAUUCUGAUGUCUUAAAAUUUAUUAAAUGUUAAAGCAAAAAUAUAUUAUAUAUUUUCAUUUGUGUGUAUUAAUGGAUAAUAUAGAACAAUUUAAAAGAGGUAUUUUUGUCGUACAAUAUCCCCAUCCCAUUCCAUUGAAGAUUCCAUGUUUUAACCAAACAUUGGAAACCUUUACCUUCAAUCCAUUCCAUUUCCCUCUCAUUUCCAAUAUUCAAACCAAACAUCACGUGUAACAACAACAACAACAACAACAAAACUUGGGAAAUUGCACAUUAUGCAACUUGGGUUGGGAGUUGAUUCAUUAAAUUGAAGGACAAGAUUUUUUAGAGUCGUUUUCAUUUCUUGCCUAAGAAAAGAAUAUUGGUUUGGUACUUUGGUUGUAAUAUUGGGUUGGGUUGCUGUGUUAUGGUAUAAUAGGCUGCUUUUGCAACUGCAACAGGUGGUUUCACAGAAAAAGACAUGCAUAUAUUUACAAAUAUAUUGAACAUGCCCAUCGAAGAAUAAAAGAUCAUCCGAAGUGUUAUCAUUUCAGUUAAGCGUAAUAUAAACGACAAAACAUGAAACGUGUCAGUAAGCACUAAUGCAAUGCAAGGAAAUGACAGAAAAGUAAUGGUAUUAUGAUAGACGCUGGUUGAAAAUGUUGAUGUACAUAUUCUCUCUAUCUUUUUUGGGUGGAAAACAUUAAGUUUUUGAAAAAUGAAGUCAGAAAUGUGAACAGAGGUGUCAUAUCUGUCAACUUUCAACCAUUAACAUUAUUAUCAUUGAUUGACCUCCAGGUCAAAUAAAUUUUGCUUUAAUAAAAUAUAAGAAUCAUACCGAUGAUUUUCUUGCAAAUUUUGCAACUGUUGUCUCAAUGCAGCUGCCUCCUGUUGCCAGAACUAGCAUGUAUAUACACAAUAAAUUAGAUUCUAAGACACAUUUAGUCCCAAAAAAAAUAUUAGUGAUCAAUUUCUCAAUUUGAGUACUGUUCCACAUUUGACUACUGUUUGGUAGUGUAUCUGGUGACACACUUAGUGAUCAAUUGAAUUUAGGAAUAUAGUCUUUGUUGUUGCUGCUUCUAAUCUUAUUAAGGUGCUCUUUUUUAAGUCUUUUUAUCCAGCAUGAGCUAAAUAUAUGUAUGUGAACCGAUGGAGCAAUCAUGCCUCGAGUUUUCCUUGGAGGUAAAAUUACGAAUCAAAUUUAAGAGUUAAAGAGUACCUUGACUUCAGAGGCAGGGUUGCCUAGUUGAUGAUGUUCCUCUUUUGAUUUGUUGUAUCGCUCAAUCACCGAUUUCAUGCUGGUGUAAGAAACAUAUAUCAGAUAUGUGCUUUUGAUGUUUCUUACUAGGUAGAGAAACAAAAUACGACAUCAGAAAUUGCCACACAAAAUGAUGUGUGGAAAAUAUUAACAUGCUGUAUUUAACUGUAUUAUGUAUCUUAGUCUCUGCGUUCUCCCUUUCUCCAGCUUUAAUUUUUGCUGUUCAAGGCACAAGAAGUUUUAAGAUUACAUCACUUAGAGCUACCAGUUGAAGAGAUGUUCCGAGGAAUUUAAAUCUGCAAAUGCAUGUAAUGAUUCAAGCCCAGACCAAAAGAUAAGUUUCCAUUUAUUUUGCUUUACUUGCAUGAUGCAAACUUCAGUCUCAAUAAGUUCGGAAAGUGUUGUCUUUUCCAUUUUGAAUUGUUUACUAACUGAAAUUAGAAAUGUUCCACAGCUUGGCAAUUGAAUGCAAUAUGGAAUCUAUUGCUGUGUUUACUUGCUGGAGUGGGAGUGAGGAGUGUGGAUUCCUCCCACUCCAGCGUUUACUUCCUUAAAAUAGGAAGGGAGUGGGAAUCCCACUCCGUGGGCUCCACCCAUUUUUGGAGUGGGGAGUGGGAGUGGGAGUGGGACUCCCAUUCCCACUCCCAUCUCUCCCUUUUUUACCCUUUUAUUUUUUUUAAUUUAAUAUUUUAUAAUUAAUAAAAUAAAAUAAAUAAUAUUAUGUUUAUUUGAAUAAUAUUAUUAUAUUUAUUUGAAUAAUAAUAUUAUAUUUAACUAAAUAAUAAUUUGCAUUGAUUAUAAGUUAAAAUUAUUUUAAAAUAAUAUUAUUAUAUUAAUAGAGAAUUAAUAAAUAUAAUAUUAUUAUAUUUAUUUUAAAAAUAAUAGUACUAUAUUUAUUUAAUAUUAAUAAUAAUAAAUAGUUUAUUCUAAGAAAAUAUUAAUUUUGUACUAAAUAAUAUUAUAUUAUUAUUUUAUAUAAUAAUAAAUUUAAUAUAAUUAUAUUAAAUAAAAUAAGGUUUCAUUUUAUAUUAAAAUUAAUAAUUUAUUGUUCAUAAUUAAGAAUAUUAAUAAUUAUAAUAAAUUUACAAAUAUAAUAAAAUAAAUAUUAUUCAUUAAAUAUAUUUUUUAUUAGUUUUGUAAUUAAAAACUAUAAUUCUUUAAAUAAGGAUAAAAUUGUAAUUUAAAACUAUUUACUCCCAAUCCAAGACAAAGUAAACACAUAAAUUGGAUUCUGAUCUCUAUUCCAUACUUCCAUUCCAGUGUAAGUAAACAACCUACUCCCACUCCCACUCCACACUCCCAAUCCUAGGAUUCCCAAUCCAAUCCAAAAAGUAAACGCUACCUAUACUAGUUGCAUUUUUAUACAUUGCUACAACUUUUAUUCUCUACUAUCUCCUCCCUCUCCUUCUUCUAGUAGAAUCCUUAACCCUGAGAACUUAAGGAAGCUAGUGUAAAUAGCUGAAAUUCUUCUCUUUUUCAGGGGUUCAUUAUGUAGUACAGAGGAUUCAAAAACCCAGUCUGCAGCCUUUCACUUACUAGCUGGAUUAUAGUACCAGGCCAACUGAAGUUACUGAUGUUACAAAACUAAGUACUACACCUUUGCCCACAGGGCUGGCUGUAUGAAACUAGGCCAGGAUUGUCAUAGCAUCCUUGUGGUUUAAGUUAUUGUGAUAGAAGAAGAAUUGCAACUGCUUACACCCCCUAGAAGUGGUCACUAUCUAUCAUCAGUUUCACCUAUUUAAUACUUCUAGAGAACAAGAAAGUGCUAAUGCCGCCUCACAAGUUUUGGUUUCACCUAUUUAAUACGUCUAGAGAACAAGAAAUUGCUAAUGCCACCUCAUCAGUUUUAGUUGCAGACAAGUUGUUUUGAUUGAAAACAAAUAACAAAUUUGCAUAUCUGCCGUCAUCUCAACUUCUUUGGGUAUCGUUGUCAUAUUUCACUCUGUCAGCUAUAGUUGCCUGUAAGUAGAUUUGAUUGAGAGCAAAUAACAUACUUGUUUAUCAUAUCAUUCAUCGUCUUCUUUUUUAUUUUUAUUUUUUCCCCUUUUUCUAUUCCAGGCUGCCGUUACCUUGAACUUUUCACAUUCUGUUUUUGCUUCAUCCAUGCAUACACUCUUGUUUCAUUAGUGAAAGAGGAUGCAUUUACGCACCAAUUCUACAGUGAUAAUCUUUUUAAAGGUUUCAUGAGUUAAAAAAAAAAGGGCUAGAAAGUUUGCAUGUUACAGUAUGUUUCCCAUCAAAUCAACCUAUGUGGUCCAAUAAUGCUCUUAGAAGUAAUUAUUCAAUCUAUCAUGUAUAUUGUCCUUGAAGAUCCUUUUUCAUGUAAAGUAGCGAACCUCAAUCUUGUUUGUAUUUGUUGACAUGAGGCAAAUUCAAAGAAAAGGGCUACUUGACUAAGUCAGCCCUUAGAACUUAUCUAGCUAUUUGAACCUGACUCGUCAUUGACUUGGAUAGAGCUUUGCAAGGGAUCGUGUAAAUAGAUCCAUCUUAAACUUUGUGUAAUGGGAUUUGGCUUUGGAACUUUUUGAUAGAAUACUCUCCCCAAUCGUUCAACUCUAAAGUCCUAGAUUUGAAUUCAGUCAAACAUUGUGAAGAGGUUUAAUCAAUGGAUGCUUUUGCAUCUCUGUGAACAAUUACUUGAGAAAUCAGAAAGACAAAUAGAAACUUAAGCCCCAUUUGGGACUAUUGUGCUGUGGCAGCCUAGCUGCUUGGCUGCCAUGGUGCAGCAAUUCCAAAGACAUUAAUAUUAUAAAGAUUCCAUAAAUCUUUUUGGGGCUGUCACAGCAAAGCAGUUCCAAGCGAGGCUUUUGUACUAAGUUUACAUUUUAC
rnacentral:lncRNA from 1 species